GACGCUAAAGAUGGCGUCAGAUUCAAACCGCUGCUGUUGAAGUGUCGAGCCUCGGUUCAGCAGCGGAGCGAUGCAGACAGAACCAGCGGAGCGGAGAAGACAGGCUGGCCGGAGUCGGCGGGGGGAGAGCGGGCACAGCCUAGCAGAGUCGCAGGGGAACCAGGCGAGAGCUGCGGUCUCUUCUGUCAGGGGCUCCGAGGAGGAGAGAUCAAGGUUGAAGGAAAUCGUCACCAUCAGGCGACAGAAAGAGAAGCAGGAGACAGGAGGAGGAGGACAAGUGGUAAAAGAAGGAGAA